AGCCCACUCCAGCUCAGCUCUUCUCCCCGUGUGCCUGUCCCCUUGUCUCUGCUUGCCAGGCCAGUUGACCAUCCCUCCGACAAACUAGCCACCGGCCCGCCUGGACGGCUCUCUCGCGCCCAGGCUUGUUACUGUGAGGUAGUCAGACGCAGCUAGCUGCCUCGUGGCCUCUGACAUUUGCGUGGAAAAAAAAAAACGAGGAUGUGCUCAACUUUCCUCUCCUACACCUGCGAUCGCGCUCUGGGGUCUCAAGAAACCCCCCCACCCUGGAACCAGUGCAGGCCUCAUGUUAUAUGCAGGGAACACAGCAACCUCUUCUGGCCAAAAGUGAACGCAGCAGAGAGUCUGUGCUGAAGCCAGAGUAUAACAAGCUCUGUGUUCCCGUUUCUUUCUCUGUGUCAGGCACUGAGAGCUACGAGGAUACCAGAUGCCGUCCCAGCCUAUUUGUCUUAUCCGUUUUCACAGACAAACUAAUUGCUAUACAAAAGGUGCUGGCGUGUCCUGUCGAGGACCCUUGUAAAUGCUUUACAUCCACCACUCCAUUCUGCCUGCCAGUAAACUGGCUAAUUAUAAAAGGAUCACAAAAGAGUGUGAUUAGGGAUACAGAAGAGGGGGAGGAGGUGCGGUCCCACACCAGUGUAAAUGGAGCACCUGAAACUGUUAGCUUAACAUUAAUGAAACCUAAUUUUUGAAGCCGCCCAAACAGAAACUUAAGAGGAGAAAAUAAAUGUUUUAUUAUUGUUGGAACAUCGUUUGUUUAGAGGUUCUAGUGCCACCUGUUAAUAUAAGACACACGCACACACAGGUAGAGCAGAUCCUUUUUUUUUGU